UACAGAGGGUGCAAGCGUUAAUCGGAAUUACUGGGCGUAAAGCGCACGUAGGUGGCUGGGUAAGUUGGAUGUGAAAUCCCCGGGCUUAACUUGGGAAUUGCAUUCAAGACUGCCUUGCUAGAGUGUGGAAGAGGGAAGCGGAGUUCCAGGUGUAGCGGUGAAAUGCGUAGAGAUCGGAAGGAACACCAGUGGCGAAGGCGGCUACCUGGACAAAUACUGACGCUGAGGCGCGAAAGCGUGGGGAGCAAACAGG
rnacentral:rRNA from 1 species